GACGAACGCUGGCGGCGUGCUUAACACAUGCAAGUCGAGCGGUAAGGCCCUUUCGGGGGUACGACGAGCGGCGAACGGGUGAGUAACACGUGGGUGACCUGCCUUUAGCUCUGGGAUAAGCCUGGGAAACUGGGUCUAAUACCGGAUAUGACCCUAUGGCGCAUGUUGUGGGGUGGAAAGCCUUGUGCGGCUAGGGAUGGGCCCGCGGCCUAUCAGCUUGUUGGUGGGGUGAUGGCCUACCAAGGCGACGACGGUAGCCGGCCUGAGAGGGCGACCGGCCACACUGGGACUGAGACACGGCCCAGACUCCUACGGGAGGCAGCAGUGGGGAAUCUUGCGCAAUGGGCGAAAGCCUGACGCAGCGACGCCGCGUGAGGGAUGACGGCCUCGGUUGUAAGA
rnacentral:rRNA from 1 species